rnacentral:rRNA from 1 species
AUUGAACGCUGGCGGCAGGCCUAACACAUGCAAGUCGAACGAGUGGCGGACGGGUGAGUAAUGUCUGGGAAACUGCCGGAUGGAGGGGGAUAACACCUGGAACCGGACGCUAAUACCGCAUACCCUCAGAUGUGCCCAGAUGGGAUUAGCUUGUGGGGGGGGUAACGGCUCACCAAGGCGACGAGCCCUCGCGGGUCUGAGAGGAUGACCAGCCACACUGGAACUGAGACACGGUCCAGACUCCUACGGGAGGCAGCAGUGGGGAAUAUUGCACAAUGGGCGCAAGCCUGAUGCAGCCAUGCCGCGUGUAUGAAGAAGGCCUUCGGGUUGUAAAGUACUUUCAGCGGGGAGGCGUUACCCGCAGAAGAAGCACCGGCUAACUCCGUGCCAGCAGCCGCGGUAAUUC